UGAGGAGAACACAGGCAGGAACUGCUUUGACCUCAGCUGCCACAACUUCUUCCUAGAAACAUCGCCAAAGGAAGGGAAGCAAGGGCAAAAAUGAACAAUUGGGACUUCAUCAAGAUAAAAAGCUUU